rnacentral:rRNA from 1 species
UAUCCGAAGACGUGAUGUGGAGCGAAUUAGAGUAGCGAAGCGUGUGAGCCAUGUGCCGAGAAAAGCCGCUAUUGUUUCAUGUGUGCCCGUACCGUAAACCGACACAGGUGGAUGAGGAGAGAAUCCUAAGGCCGGCGGAAGAAGCAUUGUUAAGGAACUCGGCAAAAUGACCCCGUAACUUCGGGAGAAGGGGUGCCUGCUAACGCAGGCCGCAGAGAAUAGGCUCAAGCAACUGUUUAGCAAAAACACAGGUCUAUGCGAAACCGAAAGGUGAAGUAUAUGGGCUGACGCCUGCCCGGUGCUGGAAGGUUAAGAGGAGAGGUUAGCGCAAGCGAAGCUUUGAAUUUAAGCCCCAGUAAACGGCGGCCGUAACCAUAACGGUCCUAAGGUAGCGAAAUUCCUUGUCGGGUAAGUUCCGACCCGCACGAAAGGCGUAAUGAUUUGAGCACUGUCUCGACAAUGCAUCCGGUGAAAUUGAAGUACCAGUGAAGAUGCUGGUUACCCGCGCCAGGACGGAAAGACCCCAUGGAGCUUUACUCCAGUUUGGUACUGGGAUUCGGUACUGCAUGUACAGGAUAGGUGGGAGACUAAGAACUUGGGACGCCAGUUUCAAGGGAGUCGCUGUUGGGAUACCACCCUUGCAGUAUUGGAUUUCUAACCAGCCGCCGUGAUCCGGCGGUGGGACAAUGCCAGGCGGGGAGUUUGACUGGGGCGGUCGCCUCCGAAAGGGUAUCGGAGGCGCUCAAAGGUUCCCUCAGAAUGGUUGGAAACCAUUUGAAGAGUGCAAAGGCAGAAGGGAGCUUGACUGCGACACCGACGGGUGGAGCAGGUAGGAAACUAGGACUUAGUGAUCCGGUGGCAUAAAGUGGGAUUGCCAUCGCUCAACGGAUAAAAGCUACCCUGGGAUAACAGGCUUAUCACUCCCAAGAGUUCACAUCGACGGAGUGGUUUGGCACCUCGAUGUCGGCUCAUCGCAUCCUGGGGCUGUAGCAGGUCCCAAGGGUUGGGCUGUUCGCCCAUUAAAGCGGUACACGAGCUGGGUUCAGAACGUCGUGAGACAGUUCGGUCCCUAUCCGGCGCGGGCGGAGGAUAUUUGAGAGGAGCUGUCCUUAGUACGAGAGGACCGGGAUGGACGGACCACUGGUGUAUCUGCUGUCGACCAACGGCAUGGCAGAGUAGCCAAGUCCGGAAGGGAUAAACGCUGAAGGCAUCUAAGCGUGAAGCCCCCCUCAAGAUGAGAUAUCCCUCACAUAAGUGAGUAAGAUCCCUUGAAGACUACAAGGUAGAUAGGGCAGAGGUGGAAGCACGGUAACGUGUGGAGCUGACUGUUACUAAUCGAUCGAGGGCUUGACC